rnacentral:rRNA from 1 species
AUGAACGCUGGCGGCGUGCCUAAUACAUGCAAGUCGAGCGAACAGACGAGGAGCUUGCUCCUCUGACGUUAGCGGCGGACGGGUGAGUAACACGUGGAUAACCUACCUAUAAGACUGGGAUAACUUCGGGAAACCGGAGCUAAUACCGGAUAAUAUAUUGAACCGCAUGGUUCAAUAGUGAAAGACGGUUUUGCUGUCACUUAUAGAUGGAUCCGCGCCGCAUUAGCUAGUUGGUAAGGUAACGGCUUACCAAGGCGACGAUGCGUAGCCGACCUGAGAGGGUGAUCGGCCACACUGGAACUGGGACACGGUCCAGACUCCUACGGGAGGCAGCAGUAGGGAAUCUUCCGCAAUGGGCGAAAGCCUGACGGAGCAACGCCGCGUGAGUGAUGAAGGUCUUCGGAUCGUAAAACUCUGUUAUUAGGGAAGAACAAAUGUGUAAGUAACUAUGCACGUCUUGACGGUACCUAAUCAGAAAGCCACGGCUAACUACGUG